rnacentral:rRNA from 1 species
CCCAGACUCCUACGGGAGGCAGCAGUGGGGAAUAUUGCACAAUGGGGGGAACCCUGAUGCAGCGACGCCGCGUGGGUGAAGGAGUAUUUCGGUAUGUAAAGCCCUCUCAGCAGGGAAGAACAAUGACGGUACCUGACUAAGAAGCACCGGCUAACUACGUGCCAGCAGCCGCGGUAAUACGUAGGGGGCAAGCGUUAUCCGGAUUUACUGGGUGUAAAGGGAGCGUAGACGGCUGUGCAAGCCAGAUGUGAAAGCCCGGGGCUCAACCCCGGGACUGCAUUUGGAACUGCGUGGCUUGAGUGUCGGAGAGGCAGGCGGAAUUCCUAGUGUAGCGGUGAAAUGCGUAGAUAUUAGGAGGAACACCAGUGGCGAAGGCGGCCUGCUGGACGAUGACUGACGUUGAGGCUCGAAAGCGUGGGGAGCAAACAGGAUUAGAUACCCUAGUAGCA